rnacentral:rRNA from 1 species
UAAGGAAUAUUGCUCAAUGGGAGAAAUCCUGAAGCAGCAACGCCGCGUGGAGGAUGAAGGGUCUAUGACUUGUAAACUCCUGUAAAGAAGGAAAAAAUUCCCAUUAGAUGGGAGAUGAUGGUACUUCUGGAGUAAGCCCCGGCUAACUACGUGCCAGCAGCCGCGGUAAUACGUAGGGGGCAAGCGUUGUCCGGAUUUACUGGGUGUAAAGGGUGCUCAGGCGGAUUUGUAAGUCAGAGGUGAAAUCUUACAGCUUAACUGUGAAACUGCCUUUGAUACUGCAAGCCUAGAGUAUGGAAGAGAGUGAUGGAAUAUCUGGUGUAGCAGUGAAAUGCGUAGAUAUCAGAUAGAACACCAAUGGCGAAGGCAGUCACUUGAUCCGUUACUGACGCUAAAGCACGAAAGCGUGGGUAGCAAACA